rnacentral:rRNA from 1 species
CCCAAACCCCUGUGAACAUACCUAUCGUUGCCUCGGCGGGAUCGCCCCGGCGCCUCCGGGCCCGGACCCAGGCGCCCGCCGCAGGACCCCAAACUCUUGUUUUCUAUACGAAUCUUCUGAGUGAUACAAGCAAAUAAAUUAAAACUUUCAACAACGGAUCUCUUGGUUCUGGCAUCGAUGAAGAACGCAGCGAAAUGCGAUAAGUAAUGUGAAUUGCAGAAUUCAGUGAAUCAUCGAAUCUUUGAACGCACAUUGCGCCCGGCAGUAUUCUGCCGGGCAUGCCUGUCCGAGCGUCAUUUCAACCCUCAAGCCCCCGGGCUUGGUGUUGGGGAUCGGCCCGCCCCUCGCGGCAGGCCGGCCCCGAAAUCUAGUGGCGGUCCCGCUGUAGCCUCCUCUGCGUAGUAGCAACACCUCGCACCGGAACGCGGCGGCGCCUUGCCGUAAAACCCCCAACUUCCAAUGGUUGACCUCGGAUCAGGUAGGAAUACCCGCUGAACUUAAGCAUAUCAAUAA